rnacentral:rRNA from 1 species
GACGAACGCUGGCGGCGUGCUUAACACAUGCAAGUCGAGCGGUAAGGCCCUUUCGGGGGUACACGAGCGGCGAACGGGUGAGUAACACGUGGGUGACCUGCCCUCAGCUCUGGGAUAAGCCCGGGAAACUGGGUCUAAUACUGGAUAUGACUCCAUGACGCAUGUUGUGGGGUGGAAAGCCUUGUGCGGCUGAGGAUGGGCCCGCGGCCUAUCAGCUUGUUGGU